ensembl:lncRNA
GAAACUCCAAUUUCAUGAUGCCAGUAGAAAAAUGGGACCCAGUGCAAGACUGAUAUUUCCAGGUCCUCCAGCCACUAUAAAAUUUCUCAUUUUCUUCCAGGCCCCCCAGCCACUAUAAAAUUUCUCAUUUUCUUGCAAGAAUGGCAGAAUCUCUUUCUCUUUUUGAAAGAACUCAUUGUCCCCAUGACCUGAACUGUUCCCCCAGCACCCCCUCUGCCGCCCUCAUGCCUCCUUUUACCUGCACACACCGUUUGGACCCGAAUUUGGUAAAGAGGAGGGACACUGGAUCCACUGAAGUGGUGAAGAGGUGUCAAGACAAAGUUUGGAGAAGCCUCAAAGAAGUACUCUAGGAACAAUGUGAUUGGGAACUUGUUAUUUCUGUUCUUCCCCCUCUCUUCGAACAAACCUCUGCGAAGAGCCAAACUCACAAAUACACCACCAUGAUGGCACUUAGAAAAACUGGAAACAUGGGACCAGACUGUAAGUCCUAUAGUAAGUUUUUUUUUUUAAUCAUAUAAUGUCAAAGGAAAUGAUACCUUUAUAACUGCAACUUUGAUCAGUCGACGAGUAUUUUUUUCAAUGCUCUUCUACUCCAUGUCUGUAGGAAAACAAACCAAAGCUAAAAUGAAGUAUGUUUGGGAGGGGCUUGAUGUCAGCUUCCAGUUCCUGCUGGACUAGAACUCUGUGUGUUAAGGGAUUCUGGUCGAAGAUUCAUGAAAAGCCUUACAUGUUAAGUCCUGUCUGUGAAUGUGGUGCCACCUGAGUGCCCUGCUUCUCCUUCCUGAGAAGGAGAUCCAGGCAGGUGGCACCUUGCUGAGGCCAGGAGAAGCUGCUCCCCACCACCCCAUUCCUCCCUCCUGUGGGGGGAAGCCCCUUAGAAGAACGCUGAGGUUUGGGGCCUCCCCGCCGAGGUACCCAGUAGUAACUUCAACUAGCUAAUGAGUAAAGGACAGUAACAAGAAUAAAUCCCAAUGAGUUUAUUAAAAAACUGAAUCACAACUUUGGCAAGGACAGGAACUAUUGUCUGGGGCUUUUCUGUCGAUUUGCAGUGUUGCAUGCCUUCAAAUAUGCCCCACCCACCCUUUUAGAACCGAGAGAUUAGCAAUGAAAGAUAGAUCUUCAAAGCUCCACACAGCUGUGAUUUACACUCCACUUUGGAGACAGUUAGGGAGGCUUCUUAUUGUGAUUGUAAAGGGUUCCAGUCAAUCUCUUGGGACGUCUUGGGACUUUUACUGUGGCGUGUGUGGAAAGUGGAAGUGCUCUGAUCCAACCCCCAUCUCUUUUGCAAAAGCUUCUUGGUAAUUGCUUGGGACUUUUUGAAACUCUCCCCACAACUCCUGCCUGCCCCCAAAGCAAAACAAAAAACAAAAAGCAAGAAAGCUGAUUUCAAGUGCUGAAGCUCUUCUAUCACAGGAAUCUGCAUCACCAUCAGCAUGGAAUUACUCCUGUAUUGCCUUUUCCCCUCCCUGGGGGAAGAUGAUGUUUUCAGAGCCCUACAGGGGUUAAGGUAACUUUUGAAAAUGCCAGAGAAUAUAUGCCCUUCAGAGACGUGUGUCCUCAGGAGGGGAAGGGCUGUAGUUGCAUGGUCCCUAACUAGCUAGUUCUAGUCAAGUUCGGUGUUAAUGAGGCCAGUGUUGGAAGGUGACGAUCACAGGCACAAAAUACAGAGGAGAAAAUCACAAGUGAAAUCCCCUCCAGGAGAAGUGUUUGGUGGUAUCUCCGGAAGCUGAAUACAUGCCCACACUGUGACCCAGCAGCUGCAUUUUUUAAGUGUGUGCCCAACAGAAACACUCCAACAGACUUGAGAAUGUUCACAGCAGCGUUAUUCAUAAUAGACAAGUCCUGGAAACUACACAGAUUCCCAUUGAUGGUAGAAAGGAUAAAUAAAUUAUGGCCUUUUUACAUAAUGGGAUAAUAUACAGCAAUUAGAAUAAAUGAUCUACAACUAAAUGCAGUAAUAUGGAUGAAUCCCCAAAAAUAAUGUUGAGUAAAAGAAGCCGAGCACAAAAGAAUACACACUGUAGGAUUCCAGUUAUGUAAAGUACAAAAACAAGCUAAACUAAUGAAUGACGUUAGAAGUCUGGAAAGGUUUUACUCCUUUUUUUUUUUUUUUUUUUAAUGGUCCUACCCAUGGCAUGUGAAGAUUCCUGGGCCAAGGAUUGAUUCUGAGGAGCAGCUGCUACUUAAGCUGCAGCAACACCAGAUCAUUUAACCCGCUGUGCCCAGGCUAGGCUGGGGAUUGAACCUGUGCCUCUGCAGCAACCCAAGCUGCUGCAGUCAGAUUCUUAACACACCGCACCACAGUGGGAACUCAUGAGAGUUUUUCCUCUAUUUAGGGGUAUACAGUGACUAGAAGAGAACAUAUGGGGGCUCCUGGGGUAGUGAUUAAACAUGUUCAGUUUGUGGAAGUUCAUUGGGCUGUACACUUAUGAUUUGUACAUUUUUUUGCAUAUUUAUUAUAAUUUGAUAUAAGUAAAAGAAUUCAUGGGGCUGUCUAGUCUCACUCUGUUACGUGAUCACUUGGUUGAACUCCAACUUUAAAAGUCACCUAGGGAAGGUAUUGCCGUUGGUUGCAGGAAAGAAUGGAAUUGUGCACUAGACCUAUCAGCACAAUUUUAGAGGAACAAACCAACAAACCGAAAACUGAAACUGCAAGUUUUAAAAUCCCUAUUGAUUGGUAUCAUCUCACGCUACCCAUCUGGUCUCCAGUCCUUUUGCCUACGUGUAAUUGGAGGGCUCCAGGUGUGCUCCAAUGACCUGAUGACCCAAGAGAAAGACCAUUUGUGGGGUUUGUGCAACAUGGCAUUGCAAGUGUCUCAAGUGCCCGGAUGAGGGCAGCUGUGCUUUGCGGCAAGAGAUUUUUUUGACUGAAUUUGGUAAUCUCCGGACAUCAUUUCCAUUGUCAUCUCUGAUAAAAUCAAACCCUCAUUUUCUCUUGAAACUCAAAAUAUUUUUCCCUGGAAUGGUCUCUGCAGAUUCACUUGAGUUCUCCUGAAAGGAGAAAUAAGACUAAGAGCUUUUGGUUUGUUUUUUGUUUUUUUUUUUCACACCUGUAUUGAACAAUGAAUAAAUCUUCCAACAUGGCAAGCAUCUUAUUGGACCACUCCAGGGUAGACAUAAGUAUUAUUCCUCUGUUUUCAAAAUCUUGGGAUGGGACCUAGCUUUGUUUGCAUCCAACAUAUAAAUAUCUGAAGAGUGCUGUAUGGAAAAGGCCUCUAUAUUGUCGUUACUUCUUUCCUUAUUAAAUGGAUAUUUACUGAGUGGUGCUAGAGGCAGCAAAGGGGUGAGUACGCUUGGGCAACCCAUCUCCUUUCUAUCAGUGGAUAUCCGUUUAACCUUGCAUCUUCUCCGUCAUGUUAGUAAAAUUAAAAGAAUAAAUACAUUUUAAAUUACAGAAUAGCAACCAGAAACAUGGACUCUGAGAACCAGGGGAGUUUGAAUCCUGGCUCAGACACUUAAUAGCUCUAUGAUCCUGGGCAAGUCCCUUAAUUUCUUUAAGCUUUGGUUAAGAUAGGAAUAAUAGCUGCAGCUACCUCA